ACGAUGUGGCGCAGUGGUAGUGCGACUGCCUGCGAUGCAGAUGGUUCCGGGUUCGAUUUCCGGUGCGGG